rnacentral:misc_RNA from 1 species
UUAAGUUCAGCGGGUAGUCCUACCUGAUUUGAGAUCAAACGUUCAAAAAGCUGUCCUCACCGAGGAGAGACAUCUGUGAGCUCCAGCGAACCUCCAUCACUGAAGGUUAUAUGGCAGGAAACCACAAGCGUAGAUAGUUAUCACACCCGUGAUGCCACCAGACACUGGCAAGCUGAUCCAUUUGAGAGGAGCCGACGCUA